GAAAUGCGAUAAGUAAUGUGAAUUGCAGAAUUUAGUGAAUCAUCGAAUCUUUGAACGCACAUUGCGCCCUCUGGCAUUCCGGAGGGCAUGCUUGUUCGAGCGUCAUUAUAACCACUCAAGCCUGGCUUGGUAUUGGGGUUCGCCAUUCCGGCGGCCUUUAAACUCAGUGGCGGUGCCGGUUGGCUCUACGCGUAGUAAUACUCCUCGCGAUAGGGUUCGGUCGGUGGCUUGCCAACAACCCCCCAUUUUUUUAGGUUGACCUCGGAUCAAGUAGGGAUACCCGCUGAACUUAA
rnacentral:misc_RNA from 1 species